GGAUAGCGUUUGGAUACGAACGGUAAUACCGCAUAAUGUAUUUUGACCGCAUGAUCGAAAUACCAAAGAUUUAUCGCUGAAGGAUGGACUCGCGUCUGAUUAGGUAGUUGGUGGGGUAACGGCCUACCAAGCCGACGAUCAGUAGCCGGACUGAGAGGUUGAUCGGCCACAUUGGGACUGAGACACGGCCCAGACUCCUACGGGAGGCAGCAGUGGGGAAUAUUGCACAAUGGGCGCAAGCCUGAUGCAGCAACGCCGCGUGAAGGAAGACGGUUUUCGGAUUGUAAACUUCUGUUCUUAGUGAAGAAUAAUGACGGUAGCUAAGGAGCAAGCCACGGCUAACUACGUGCCAGCAGCCGCGGUAAUACGUAGGUGGCAAGCGUUGUCCGGAAUUACUGGGUGUAAAGGGAGCGCAGGCGGGUGAUCAAGUCAGCUGUGAAAACUACGGGCUUAACCCGUAGACUGCAGUUGAAACUGUUCAUCUUGAGUGAAGUAGAGGUUGGCGGAAUUCCGAGUGUAGCGGUGAAAUGCGUAGAUAUUCGGAGGAACACC
rnacentral:rRNA from 1 species